CAAUAGCGUAUAUUAAAGUUGUUGCAGUUAAAAAGCUCGUAGUUGGAUUUCUGGUGGGAGCGAUCGGUCUGGCGCUUAGCGCGAGUACUUGCAUCGUCUCCGGCCAUCCUUGGGGAGAGUCUGUCUGGCAUUAGGUUGUCGGGCAGAGGAUCCUCAUCGUUUACUGUGGAAAAAUUAGAGUGUUCAAAGCAGGCUUAUGCCGUUGAAUAUAUCAGCAUGGAAUAAUAAGAUAGGACUUUGGUACUAUUUUGUUGGUUUGCGCACCAAAGUAAUGAUUAAUAGGGACAGUUGGGGGUAUUCGUAUUCCGUUGUCAGAGGUGAAAUUCUUGGAUUUACGGAAGACGAACUACUGCGAAAGCAUUUACCAAGGAUGUUUUCAUUAA
rnacentral:rRNA from 1 species